ensembl:lncRNA
AAAAAAAGGGAAAUGUACUAUUAAUCAUUCUAUGUCAUGUAGUAGAUCAUGUCAGAUGUAAUUCAUAUUUUAGGGUAGUAAUAGUAAAUUACUACGUGCAAUCAAGAUGAGAGACCACGGCUAUAAAAGCGAAGGUGGAUUUGGGAAGUCUGUCUGUUGGGUCUAAACUCAGACCCCGCUGUAUCCAGGACUUAUUCCCAUGAAAGAAAAACAAGGCAACAGUGUUCGAUCGAUUACUUGCGCAAGGGAGGCCUUUGGUCAAGAACCAGCUCUUGGAGCUCACGCUCCUAACCUGUCUCCAGCCCAAAGUCCUUCAAAGAGCAGCUUCCCUCGCAGCUAUUUAUUGACAAACUGUUACAGUUCACACAAUAGUUUACAACACGUACCUCCCCUCUUAACCCCCCCCUUGGUUACAAAGACAAGGCAGUGUGUGUGUGUGUGUGUGUGUGUGUGUGUGUGUGUGUGUGUAAGAGAGACCUCCUGCUGGGCAGGAAGCUUACAUCAAACAGAUCUUUCAGAUAGGAUGUAUCUACAAUAAAACAUUACAGCCCCCUACCCAGAACCCCGAGAAUCUGGGGGGAAGGACAGUGGAAUCCCUAUCAUCAGAGUUAGCAAGCAUAAAAAUGACAAACAUUAACAAUUCACUCUAACAUUCCCUCCUGUUUUGUGAUUUUUAUGCUCCAAAUUUUUCCUGUGUAGUAUAUUCUUAGCCAUGCACCUUGACAAUUUCAGCACAGGCGCCAUUUAUACACAGGCUUCUGUCAUAUCAUUCAUGUCAGUCAAUCCAUACUGUUGUAAAAGUACAUAAUUAACAAAUGUAUUAGAAAUCAUUUUAGUUAGCAUUGAUCUUAUAAACUGUAAAAUGCAUCGUAUACAUAAGCAAAUCAAUGUCAACAGUCCAAAAACAGGAAUUAAUAUUUUCAAAGGAAGAUGCCACCAAGGACCAGACAUUAACCAAGUUAUCCAGCCUUGUGGUGCAUCUACUCCUGUCGUGCAAUUCAUUAUGUAUUCCUGCAAGUAAACAAUUGAAUGUAACAGUCAAAAAGAAUAAUCAACAUUCCCAAAAAUCAUAUUUCACUACAAUCCAACUGUAUACAGACAUUGACGUUCAAACACAUCAGUUGACUUUAUCGUUUGUCCAUGUGGCUCUCAGCUAACUUCAAAGCUGUAGCCUGGUUAACACCCUUCUUUAUGACUCCUAUCAACCCCCAAUCCUUCUCACUGUGGGCAUCCUGUGGGGGUUAGAGUCAACUGGUAAAUUAUCCGCAUUUACAACUCUUCUCCUGUCCUGUUGUCACCACAGGAAAAGCUUUGUAAAGGAAAUUGGAUCAAGCUGUUUUGAUCUUCUUGGCUCACAACCUCAACAAGCUUAGAGAAGUGCUCAUGUAACUCAGUUCAUGUAAAUGUAGACAAAAGGCUUCUCUGUUUGCAUCCUUCUUGCAGAAGACACAAAGAAUAGGUGAUGUUGUACAAAUUCCAUGGUAAAUCUCCAACUAGGACUAAUCCAUUGCCCUUCAUACACAUAGGCAACUGGCCUGUUUCCAGUUUGUUUAGUUGUUCAAUGUCCUGCAACAAGUCAGAUACUUUGAGUCAGACUAUCAAGUCUGUCGUACCAGAGCAGUUCACCGUCCCAGCUACUGGUGAAUCAACCGUCCAUUCAGGUUCAGAAGUUGAAAAGUUGGCAGUGUUCCAACUUAUUCCCAUGAAAGAAAAACAAGGCAACAGUGUUCGAUCGAUUACUUGCGCAAGGGAGGCCUUUGGUCAAGAACCAGCUCUUGGAGCUCACGCUCCUAACCUGUCUCCAGCCCAAAGUCCUUCAAAGAGCAGCUUCCCUCGCAGCUAUUUAUUGACAAACUGUUACAGUUCACACAAUAGUUUACAACACGUACCUCCCUCUUAACCCCCUUGGUUACAAAGGCGAGUGUGUGUGUGUGUGUGUGUGUGUGUGUGUGUGUGUGUGUGUGUGUGAGAGACCUCCUGCUGGGCAGGAAGCUUACAUCAAACAGAUCUUUCAGAUAGGAUGUAUCUACAAUAAAACAUUACAGCCCCCUACCCAGAACCCCGAGAAUCUGGGGGGAAGGACAGUGGAAUCCCUAUCAUCAGAGUUAGCAAGCAUAAAAAUGACAAACAUUAACAAUUCACUCUAACACUGUCGCAGCCAUGUCCUGUCCGUUUGUACGCGAGCAACCCAUUGCGGAAGGUGCAAGACUGAUAAGGAGAGUAUUCAGAAUUCAGCGGAUAUUGCGGGAUAGACAGGAUCCUUUAGCUCAGCGCGACAGUGUGCUCAUAGAGAGAUAUCGAUUUUCCCGUGAGGGUAUUAUUGACUUAACACUCUCUAUCUAUCUCUAUCUCUCUCUCUCUAUAUAUAUAGAUAUCUAGAUCUAGAGAUCUAGAUCUCUCUCUCUCUCUCUCUCUCUCUCUCUCUCUAUAGAUAUAUAUAUAUAUAUAUAGAUAUAGAUAUAUAUAGAUAGAUAGAUAGAUAGAUCGAUCGAUCUAAAUCUCCCAACUUACUGUGCAUGCUUCAGUCACCCCUUGCAUGGGAACAGGUAAAAGUGAUGGAGUGUUAUGUAAAACUACACACAAAAAAACCCACAAUGUCAAUAAAUGUCACAGUACAAACAGCCGGG